AGUGAACGCUGGCGGUAGGCCUAACACAUGCAAGUCGAACGGCAGCACAGUAAGAGCUUGCUCUUACGGGUGGCGAGUGGCGGACGGGUGAGGAAUACAUCGGAAUCUACUUUUUCGUGGGGGAUAACGUAGGGAAACUUACGCUAAUACCGCAUACGACCUACGGGUGAAAGCAGGGGAUCUUCGGACCUUGCGCGAUUGAAUGAGCCGAUGUCGGAUUAGCUAGUUGGCGGGGUAAAGGCCAACGAAGGCGACGAUCCGUAGCUGGUCUGAGAGGAUGAUCAGCCACACUGGAACUGAGACACGGUCCAGACUCCUACGGGAGGCAGCAGUGGGGAAUAUUGGACAAUGGGCGCAAGCCUGAUCCAGCCAUCCCGCGUGGGUGAAGAAGGCCUUCGGGUUGUAAAGCCCUUUUGUUGGGAAAGAAAAGCAGCAGGUUAAUACCCCGCUGUUCUGACGGUACCCAAAGAAUAAGCACCGGCUAACUUCGUG
rnacentral:rRNA from 1 species